CCCCUCUUAGUUCUUCCUUCUUCCUUCUUACUUCUUCCUUCUUGGUCCAUAGUUAAUCUUUGGCUCUCAGAUUAUUUGCUUCUUCUUUUCUUCUUCUUUUGUUGUCAUUUUUCUUCGUUCUAUAUCUUUUACUUCCUCUCUCCUCCAGUCGCUCUCACCCUCAAAAACCAGAUCAAAAAACAUACCAAACACCAAACAACCAAAUCUGAAUCGUUCCUUCGCCAUCCGUUUCGUCUUCCUUCUCUCUUAGCCUCUCACAUCCUGCUUCAUUUCCUAUGAAACCAAUCUUGGCCCAAAAUCCGUAAUACCCAAAUCAAAAAACCUAACACCUCAGCCCCAAAUACCUCCUCCAAUCUCACUUGCUCUCUCGACUUCUUGCUUAGCAAUCAGUUGCUUGUCGCACUCGAUUUCUGUACUUGCAAUCGAAAUCUUGUGGCUCGUUAGCAAUUGAAAGGGGCUUCUGGGGCGGAAGAGGACUGCGCAUAUUGGGUCCAAGAAAGCUGAGAGAGGUAGUGAUGGCUCUUCUAUGGAAGGAAGAAGGUCUGGCCUUGUGCAUGAGAGUUCUUCUUCACAGAUUCGAGUUUCAGCUGUCCUGACAAAUGGUGCAUAUCUUUUGAACGUCGAUUGUGAUCACUACUUCAAUAACAGUAAAGCUGUUAAGGAAGCAAUGUGUUUCAUGAUGGACCCAGAUUAUGGGAAGAAGACCUGCUAUGUACAGUUCCCACAAGAAGAGGGCUGCUCUUAGUUCUUUUAAUUUGAGAUUCCAGGGCUCUUCAGAGAAAUUCAACCGAAGCUAUGAUGGAGGCAAGGGUUGUUGAUAUUCUAAAUGCAAUGGAACCACUUGCAUAUAGGAAAAUGGACUUUGAAAAAUUUUGUGCUGCUGCAAUUAGCACGCAUCAAUUGGAGGCCCUCGAAGGAUGGGAGCAGAUAGCAUCUACUGCUUUUUAAUUUGAGAUUCCAGGUCUGUCAAAAGAACUAAAUCGACCAUUCCCAUUUUCAAUAUGGAAGACAUUGACGAGUUAAGGUGAAGGAAAUCAACUAUUAUCAAUUAAACCUGAAGCCUUUGCUGAACUGAAGGUGAAGGAAAUCAAGAAUGGGCGGUUGGCAAUGACCUCAAUGUUUGGAUUCUUUGUUCAGGCUAUUGUAACUGGAAAAGGGCCAGUUGAGAACCUCUAUGACCACGUUGCUGAUCCUGUGGCCAACAAUGACCUCAAUGUUUGGAUUCUUUGUUCAUUCUUUUUUCUUUGUUCAGCUUCUUUUUGCUUGAACAACUUCUUUGUUUAUUGGCCAAAAGAAAAGAAAAGAAUACAAGAAAAAAGAAAAAAGAGAACUGUUUAUUUGUCUAAAUGCGGUGCACAUUCAGGUGCUCAUGUCAACAGAUGCAUGCUUUACUGCAAUUUAGGUAUAUCUAAACUAGAAUAAAUUAAGCAGACUGCUUCUAAAUGUCAAAACAGAAGUGAAUAAAAAUUCAAAACCAUGUUAUUAUCACAUUGAUAAAGUUCCCCAUCUUUCCAUCUACAUUAGGCAAACUAAGCUGGAAUGCAUUCCAGCCUCUUUUCAUACAUCAUCUUAACCCAAUCCUUAUUGUGGAGACCAUGUGUGUUAACCAUAGCAUUCCAGCGUUUUUCAAAAUCAUCUGGAGUGACUUCAUCCCACAUACAACGUCUAAAUUCAGAAAAGACACUGUUCUUACGCAGGUGCCUCCGGGCGUUCUUUGCUAUGUGCCAUGUACACAGACGAUGAGGACAACCAGGGAGUACCACUUCAAUAGCCCUUCGCAUUGCUUCAUCCCCAUCAGUCAAAACAGCAACAGGCCUUUUGUUAUUCAUAGACGAUAUAAAGGUCUCCAAAACCCAUGUGUUUGCAGUUUGCCG